rnacentral:rRNA from 1 species
AGCGAACGCUGGCGGCAGGCCUAACACAUGCAAGUCGAACGGAUCCUUCGGGAUUAGUGGCGGACGGGUGAGUAACACGUGGGAACGUGCCUUUAGGUUCGGAACAACUCAGGGAAACUUGAGCUAAUACCGGAUGUGCCCUUAGGGGGAAAGAUUUAUCGCCUUUAGAGCGGCCCGCGUCUGAUUAGCUAGUUGGUGAGGUAAAGGCUCACCAAGGCGACGAUCAGUAGCUGGUCUGAGAGGAUGACCAGCCACAUUGGGACUGAGACACGGCCCAAACUCCUACGGGAGGCAGCAGUGGGGAAUCUUGCGCAAUGGGCGAAAGCCUGACGCAGCCAUGCCGCGUGUAUGAUGAAGGUCUUAGGAUUGUAAAAUACUUUCACCGGUGAAGAUAAUGACUGUAGCCGGAGAAGAAGCCCCGGCUAACAUCGUGCCAGCAGCCGCGGUAAUACGAAGGGGGCUAGCGUUGCUCGGAAUUACUGGGCGUAAAGGGAGCGUAGGCGGACAUUUAAGUCAGGGGUGAAAUCCCAGAGCUCAACUCUGGAACUGCCUUUGAUACUGGAUGUCUUGAGUAUGAGAGAGGUAUGUGGAACUCCGAGUGUAGAGGUGGAAUUCGUAGAUAUUCGGAAGAACACCAGUGGCGAAGGCGACAUACUGGCUCAUUACUGACGCUGAGGCUCGAAAGCGUGGGGAGCAAACAGGAUUAGAUACCCUGGUAGUCCACGCCGUAAACGAUGAUUGCUAGUUGUCGGGAUGCAUGCAUUUCGGUGACGCAGCUAACGCAUUAAGCAAUCCGCCUG